rnacentral:rRNA from 1 species
AGAGUUUGAUCCUGGCUCAGGACGAACGCUGGCGGCGUGGAUUAGGCAUGCAAGUCGAGCGACGGACCUUCGGGUUACGGAGCGGCGAACGGGUGAGUAACACGUGAUCAACCUGUCCCCACAUUCCGGAUAAUUGGCCGAAAGGCCUUGUAAUACGGGCGAGGAUCUCUGGAAGGCAUCUUUUGGAGAGGGAACACGCAAGUGGUGCGGGGAGGGGAUCGCGUCCUAUCAGGUAGUUGGCGGGGUAACGGCCCACCAAGCCUACGACGGGUAGCUGGUCUGAGAGGAUGGUCAGCCACAUUGGAACUGAGACACUGUCCAGACUCCUACGGGAGGCUGCAGUCGAGAAUCUUGCACAAUGCACGAAAGUGUGAUGCAGCGACGCCGCGUGGAGGAUGAAGGCCCUUGGGUUGUAAACUCCUUUUGCUUGGGAAGAAUAAAUGACGGUACCAGGCGAAUAAGCCACGGCUAACUACGUGCCAGCAGCCGCGGUAAUACGUAGGUGGCAAGCGUUGUCCGGAUUUACUGGGUGUAAAGGGUGCGCAGGCGGGCGCUUAAGUAGAAAGUGAAAGGUUGGAGCUCAACUCCGACACUGCUUUCUAUACUGGGCGCCUUGAGUCUUGGAGGGGGAAGCGGAACGACACGUGUAGCGGUGAAAUGCGUUGAUAUGUGUCGGAACACCAAUGGCGAAAGCAGCUUCCUGGACAAGUACUGACGCUCAGGCACGAAAGCCAAGGUAGCAAACAGGAUUAGAUACCCUAGUAGUCC